rnacentral:tRNA from 1 species
UCCUUAAUGACUCAGAUGGUAGAGAAUCUGCCUGCAGUGCAGGAGACCUGGGUUUGAUCCCUGGGUUGGGAA